UUCCGGUUGAUCCUGCCGGACCUGACUGCUAUCGGAUUGAUACUAAGCCAUGCGAGUCAUUGUAGCAAUACAAGGCAGACGGCUCAGUAACGCGUAGUCAACCUAACCUAUGGACGGGAAUAACCUCGGGAAACUGAGAAUAAUGCCCGAUAGAACACUAUACCUGGAAUGGUUUGUGUUCCAAAUGAUUUAUCGCCGUAGGAUGGGACUGCGGCCUAUCAGGUUGUUGGUGAGGCAAAGGCUCACCAAGCCUAUAACCGGUACGGGCCGUGAGAGCGGGAGCCCGGAGAUGGGCACUGAGAUAAGGGCCCAGGCCCUACGGGGCGCAGCAGUUGCGAAAACUCUGCAAUGCACGAAAGUGUGACAGGGCUACCCCGAGUGCCGUCCGCUGAGGGCGGCUUUUCCCUGGUGUAAGGAGCCGGGGGAAUAAGGAGAGGGCAAGUCUGGUGUCAGCCGCCGCGGUAAUACCAGCUCUCCGAGUGGUAGGGAUGUUUAUUGGGCUUGAAGCGUCCGUAGCUGGCCUGGCAAGUCUUCCGUUAAAUCCAACGAUUCAAUCGUUGGACUGCGGGAGGUACUGUUGGGCUAGGGGGCGGAAGAGGCCGACGGUAUUCUCGGGGUAGGGGUGAAAUCCUAUAAUCCCGGGAAGACCACCAGUGGCGAAGGCUGUCGGCUAGAACGAGCCCGACGGUGAGGGAUGAAAGCUGGGGGAGCGAACCGGAUUAGAUACCCGGGUAGUCCCAGCUGUAAACGAUGCAGGCUAGGUGUUUGGACGGCCACGUGCCGUUCUAGUGCCGCAGGGAAGCUGUUAAGCCUGCCGCCUGGGGAGUACGAUCGCAAGAUUGAAACUUAAAGGAAUUGGCGGGGGAGCACCACAAGGGGUGAAGCUUGCGGUUUAAUUGGAUUCAACGCCGGA
rnacentral:rRNA from 1 species